AACGAACGCUGGCGGCAUGCUUAACACAUGCAAGUCGAACGGAACCUCCGGGCCUGGUGGCUCACGGGGUGGUAACGGGGGGGAACCUCCCUUGGGGUUCUGAAUAACUCCCCGAAAGGGGUGCUAAUACCGGGUAAUGUCUCCGGACAAAAGAUUUAUCGCCUUUGGAUGGGGCCGCGUUGUUUUAGUUAGUUGGUAGGGUAAAGCCCUGCCAAGGCGACGAGCCAUAGCUGGUCUGAGAGGAUGAUCAGCCACACUGGGACUCGGACACGGCCCCGACUCCUACGGGAGGGAGGAGAGGGGAAUAUAGGACAGUGGGCGAAAGGCUGAUACAGCAAGGCCGCGUGAAUGAUGAAGGCCUUAGGGUUGUAAAGCUCUUUUACCCGGGCUGAUAAUGACAGUACCGAGAGAACAAGCUCCGGCUAACUACGUG
rnacentral:rRNA from 1 species